UGGUCCUCACCGGUGCAGUUUCUGUGAAGUUUCUGGGAUCAGCUGCUUUUGGACGAGGGGAGGGUCAGAUGUGGACAGAGGAGCUUCAGUGUAGAGGAAACGAAUCUGAGAUUAGCUUCUGUCCAUCAUCAUCUUCACUCAAACACUCAACCUGUUCCCAUGACAACGAUGUGGGAUUAAUAAGUUCUGGUCACACAGAGGCUCGGCUGGUGAACGGACCGGACUCCUGUUCUGGUCGAGUGGAGCUCCUGUACCGCGGUGUGUGGGGCACAGUUUGUGCUGUAAGCUGGGAUAUGAGAGCUGCAGAUGUUCUGUGUGCACAGCUGGGUUGUGGGAGUGCUGUGGCUGUGGUGGAGGUGGACUGGUUUGGGGAGGGGAAGUGACCACAUCUGGGCUGAUGUGUUUGAUUGUCAGGAGAAGGAGACACACCUAUCACAAUGUGGCGUCUCAUCAUGGAGUCGAGCUGCGUGCUCUCAUAAACAUGACGCUGGAGUCAUCUGUAAUGGAUCCUCUGUGGCACUUCAUGAGGGGCGAGUGCGGUUGUCUGGAGGGAGCGAGUGUCAGGGGGAGGUGGAGAUUUAUUUCAGGCAGGACUGGAGGAGAGUUCUCCUGGACUAAUGGAGUCUGUCUGAGGCGUCUGUGCUCUGCAGACAGCUGGGCUGUGGCUCUGUGCUGAACUACCGCUCCUCUCCAUCCAC